rnacentral:rRNA from 1 species
CCUACGGGAGGCAGCAGUGAGGAAUAUUGGUCAAUGGUCGGGAGACUGAACCAGCCAAGCCGCGUGAGGGAUGAAGGUACAGUGUAUCGUAAACCUCUUUUGUCAGGGAACAAAGGCGGGGCCGUGUCCCCGGAUGAGUGUACCUGAAGAAAAAGCAUCGGCUAACUCCGUGCCAGAAGCCGCGGUAAUACGGAGGAUGCGAGCGUUAUCCGGAUUUAUUGGGUUUAAAGGGUGCGGAGGCGGUCUGUUAGGUCAGCGGGAAAAGCCCGGGGCUCAACCCCGGCCCGCCGUUUAAACUGGUGUUCGCGAGUUGGAGAGAGGUAUGCGGAAUGCGCGGUGUAGCGGUGAAAUGCAUAGAUAUCGCGCAGAACUCCGAUUGCGAAGGCAGCAUGCCGGCUCCACACUGACGCUGAGGCACGAAAGCGUGGGUAUCGAACAGGAUUAGAUACCCUUGUAGUC